rnacentral:rRNA from 1 species
GACGAACGCUGGCGGCGUGCCUAAUACAUGCAAGUUGAGCGCUGAAGGUUGGUCCUUGUACCAACUGGAUGAGCAGCGAACGGGUGAGUAACGCGUGGGGAAUCUGCCUUUGAGCGGGGGACAACAUUUGGAAACGAAUGCUAAUACCGCAUAAAAACUUUAAACACAAGUUUUAAGUUUGAAAGAUGCAAUUGCAUCACUCAAAGAUGAUCCCGCGUUGUAUUAGCUAGUUGGUGAGGUAAAGGCUCACCAAGGCGAUGAUACAUAGCCGACCUGAGAGGGUGAUCGGCCACAUUGGGACUGAGACACGGCCCAAACUCCUACGGGAGGCAGCAGUAGGGAAUCUUCGGCAAUGGACGAAAGGCUGACCGAGCAACGCCGCGUGAGUGAAGAAGGUUUUCGGAUCGUAAAACUCUGUUGGUAGAGAAGAACGUUGGUGAGAGUGGAAAGCUCAUCAAGUGACGGUAACUACCCAGAAAGGGACGGCUAACUACGUG